rnacentral:rRNA from 1 species
CAAUAGCGUAUAUUAAAGUUGUUGCAGUUAAAAAGCUUGUAGUUGGAUUUCUGAUCGAGACAUCAGGUCGGGUCCGAGAGGAUCAUGUACUUUGAUUUUGUUUUGAUCAUCCUUGGGGAGAGCAUUUCUGGCAUUCAGUUGUCGGGAUUGGGAUCCUCAUCGUUUACUGUGAAAAAAUUAGAGUGUUCAAAGCAGGCCUCGGCCUCUGAAUACAUUAGCAUGGAAUAAUAAGAUAGGACUUUGGUGGUCUAUUUUGUUGGUUUGCACGCCAAAGUAAUGAUUAAUAGGGAUAGUUGGGGGUAUUCGUAUUCAAUUGUCAGAGGUGAAAUUCUUGGAUUUAUGGAAGACGAACUACUGCGAAAGCAUUUACCAAGGAUGUUUUCAUUAA